UGCACGGUAGCUCAAUGGCAGAGCGGCGAGUUGUUAACUCGACUAGUGGAGGUUCGACUCCUUCCCGUGCAGCCA
rnacentral:tRNA from 1 species